GUCCCUUCGGGGACAUCCGAUAAAAUUGGAACGAUACAGAGAAGAUUAGUAUGGUCCCUGUGCAAGGAUGACACGUACAAAUCGAGAAAUGGUCCAAAUUUUU
rnacentral:snRNA from 1 species